CGUAGGGUGCAAGCGUUAAUCGGAAUUACUGGGCGUAAAGCGUGCGCAGGCGGUUCGGAAAGAAAGAUGUGAAAUCCCAGAGCUUAACUUUGGAACUGCAUUUUUAACUACCGGGCUAGAGUGUGUCAGAGGGAGGUGGAAUUCCGCGUGUAGCAGUGAAAUGCGUAGAUAUGCGGAGGAACACCGAUGGCGAAGGCAGCCUCCUGGGAUAACACUGACGCUCAUGCACGAAAGCGUGGGGAGCAAACAGG
rnacentral:rRNA from 1 species